rnacentral:rRNA from 1 species
UACGUAGGGUGCGAGCGUUACUCGGAAUUACUGGGCGUAAAGCGUGCGCAGGCGGUUAUUUUAGUCAGGUGUGAAAGCCCUGGGCUUAAUCUAGGAAUUGCGCUUGAGACUGGAUAGCUUGGAGUGCGGCAGAGGGAGGUGGAAUUCCACGUGUAGCAGUGAAAUGCGUAGAGAUCAGGAAGAACACCGGUGGCGAAAGCGUUCUGCUGGGCUGCGACUGACACUGAGGGACGAAAGCUAGGGGAGCGAAUGGG